AACAAAGGCUGAGAUAGCUUUAGGUGUC
rnacentral:piRNA from 1 species